rnacentral:lncRNA from 1 species
GCGAAAACAAACACAACAAGCUGCUAUUUAAUGCCGUGGAGGAAUUGUCUUUGUAAAAUGGCUCAAUAACAAGAUAAAAAAUGGGUUGAGCCAUGUUCCUAGAACUCUUCUUAAAGUUAAUCGGAGCACUUAUGGCUAUGCCUUCCUUGAUAAUUCCAUAAUCUGCAAGAUUUAUAACAGCUGAUCCCAAGAGUUGACCUUUAACGUGCUUCUCCUUUCCAGUUUCAUACAAGUAUAUCUCCAAGUAAUUCUUCUGAAAACUAUCAUUAGCAAUGCCUUUUUUUUAUGCUUCCCCAUAUAAAGUAACCGAAAUUCUGAACUGAACCGCGCUUUUAG